AUGACCAUGAAACACUGUCAGGUGAAAAGAUUUAAGUACACAUUGAAGACGUUAACCACACUACGUAUCUGUAUGUCUUUCCUUUGCAAGAGUUUUUUUUUUUUUUUUUUUCAUGUUUUAAAUGCAGCAUGUAAUGGUUUGCAAUGUGGUCUGUCUUCAGAAUAUGUGGGAUGUUUUAUGAUAGUUCUUAAUUUGUUUCUGUUCUUGAGGUAUCCAACGUCUGUUCAAUGUUUUGGUUCAAAAGAUAUUGCAGCUGUCGAUGAAACGGAUGUACGGUUGUUAAAUUCUGCUUCAUCUUUUCUAAUUCCGUUUAGAUUCCACUUACAAGCUUUGACAAUGUAGAGAAAUCCUGCAAUUGAUAAUUAGCUCAUUUCUUGGAUUUUUAGAUGCACAUCUCUUCAUUGCUUCACUUGAGUUUUAUUGUAGUUAUCUAAAUUUUGUCUUUAAAAAAAACUAACAGUUUUUUUUUUUUUUUUUUUGGUUAUCCAAGGGAUUUGCUUAAGGAGUUACUGAUGUAGGCAUAAUUUAUAACCAUCUGUUAUUACAUUAAGUUAAUUAUGAAAUACCUCUGUGAACAUGCAUUGUCCCGGUAUCCCAAUUUCCCUUUAAAGGGGGAUCGUUCACAUAAAAAUUAAGAUCCUGUCAUCAUUCACUCAACCUCAUGUCAUUCCAAAGACUUUCUGACCCUGUUCCAGCGUAUCGUGAAUGUCUCGUCUGUUUCGGACCCCAUUGACUUUCUCUGUAUAGACCAAAACAGUUUAAUCCAGUUAGGAAUAACGUGAGGGUGUGUAAAUAUUGGCAGAAUUCAGAUUUUGGGUGAGCUGUCUCCCUAACUCAGUUACGUCUUUGUAAACGCUGUCAGCAGAAUGAACUGAACCUGGUCUUUGUUUAAAAAAAAAACUCAACUCCAGGGGUCAAAUGCACAUAUAGAGGUUCUAUGCACAGAAUGCAAACAGAACAGAGUUUAUAUUUUGGGGGGUUGCACAUUAGCUUAAUUUCCUCAAUUUAAAUAAGCACUUACUACCCCACAAAUUAUAUAAUUGCAAUAUAAAUUAUUUACAUACAUCUUAAAUAGCUCCCCUUAGUGUUUAAAGCAAUGAGAGCACGUACGAAUGGGAAAGAGGUACAGAGAUACUUAAAUGGUGUGUUUGACUGCGAAAUCUGUACCGAGAAAAUGCAUCUUUGUUGGCAUAUUCAAAUUUCAUGUGUUUUCUUGAUGUAUGAAUGAUUUUUGUCCUGUCCUGAUAACUCAACUGUUUUUUUGCGUUUGGAUGCAUAUGUGUGUGUUCGUGUGCAAGCAUGUGUAUUUGUCUUCUUUCAUACGCUCAAUUAUAUGCAAAGUUAAUAUUGCGAACUUUUCAAGUUCAGGGUGCCUGUGUUAAGCGAUAUAUUAAACGGAAUCACAUCAGAACGUGAAAAAAAAAACUCUUGCUUUUCCUUUUCCCCUGUCCCUACACCCCCAUUACCCCCCAACAAUCUUCAGUUGUGCCAUGUUUUGACUGUUAAAAGUUCGAAUUAAUAUUUCAUUUUAUGUUGCUCUCUCUGAAUCUCCUACAGUGGAUAUGAAGAGGGGGUUACAUUAUGUCUCAAGAAUCUUUGUCACUGCUAAUAAACUUGUUGAAAAAGAUCUUGUUCUCUUAGUC
ensembl:lncRNA